rnacentral:rRNA from 1 species
UACAGAGGGUGCGAGCGUUGUCCGGAAUCACUGGGCGUAAAGGGCGCGUAGGCGGCUUGAUAAGCGUGCGGUGAAAGCCCGGGGCUCAACCCCGGGUCGGCCGUGCGAACUGUCGAGCUGGAGCACUGUAGAGGCAGGUGGAAUUCCGGGUGUAGCGGUGGAAUGCGUAGAGAUCCGGAGGAACACCAAUGGCGAAGGCAGCUCGCUGGGACGUGACUGACGCUGAGACGCGAAAGCGUGGGGAGCAAACAGG